UACGUAGGGUGCAAGCGUUGUCCGGAAUUAUUGGGCGUAAAGAGCUCGUAGGCGGUUUGUUGCGUCGGCUGUGAAAUCCCGAGACUCAACCUCGGGUCUGCAGUCGAUACGAGCAAACUAGAGUGUUGCAGGGGAGACUGGAAUUCCUGGUGUAGCGGUGAAAUGCGCAGAUAUCUGGAGGAACACCGGUGGCGAAGGCGGCAUCCUGGACCGGUAUUGACGCUGAGGCGCGAAAGCUAGGGGAGCAAACGGG
rnacentral:rRNA from 1 species